rfam:Apaloderma vittatum contig31177, whole genome shotgun sequence.
GGCCAGUUAGCUCAAUCAGUUGAGCGUGGCGCUAACGCUGCCAAGGUCACAGGUUUGAUUCCUGGUCAGUCCC